rnacentral:lncRNA from 1 species
UGAACUUAAACUUUUCAACAAAAGUAGGCACAUCACUCACUAUAAAUACCACAUGCAUUCUUUUACUUAAAUCACAUCCAUAACUAAUAAUAUUACUGAUUAAAUAUCUCAUAAAAAUAAGAAAAAUGAAAAUGAUGAAAUUUUUUGUGCUUGUUGUAACUAUUUUAGCAUUGUUGCUAAGUGUAGCAAAUGCACAACAAUGUGGAAGUCAAGCUGGUGGAGCUUUGUGUGCCAAUGGGUUAUGUUGUAGUCAAUAUGGUUAUUGUGGCACUACUCCUGAUUACUGUGGACAGGGAUGCCAGAGUCAAUGCAACUAAAUUAUGUUUUGUGUGUACGUUCUAGCUUGAAGGCUAUGAUAAUAAUAAGGUAAUAUAUAUCCAUGUGGUUGUGUGUUUAAAAUAUAUAAAUUUGUAUUACUAGAAUAAAGUGGGAACAUGUAUGUACUGUGAGUUAAUUCCACAAGAACAAGAAUAUAGUGUCUGGUCAUGAACACUAUAUAUGUACUAGCUUGUUUGUUUUCUAUUUCAAUGUGAUGUUUAUUAAGAAUGGUCAAAAACCACUUAAUAAAAAUGUCCACUAAUUAAGUAUUAUUAGAUUCAUCCAAAUAAUUUUAUUUUCCAUAUCAUGUUUUCAGCCAUGUGUUAAACAUAUAUAUCAAAUAAAUAGUCCAAUUCAAAUUAGAAAGAAGCAACGUGCAAGUCAAAUAACAAAUAGACCAGACUUUAACACAUAAAACAAUUCAUAGUCAACAAGUAUAAUUAUCAUAUGAUCAACUAUAUCAAUAAAGAUCGUCCAGUCAUUCAAUACUCACUGUUAGGAUCGAAAAUAAUUAGAUGUAAUGCGAAAGUUAACAAAGCAAACUUCGAUAGACCUCGAUAGAUCACGCGCGAGUAAGAAGACAAACAAGAAAUAUAUCAAAAGACACAAAGAUUUAACGUGGUUCGGUCAAUCAAUCUACGUCCACAAAGAAAUGAAAAAUUCACUAUAUAAAUAUGAGAGUACAAAAAUUCACUAUAUAAAUCGGUCAUAUCUAUAUUCUUGUUCAGAAUAUUCAUAGCUCAGUUAUACAUUGUUCAACCUUUAUACUUUGUUCAACUUAGCAUAUCUCUAUACUGCAUGCUUAGUACAUUCAAACACAUACUUUGCGCUAUAUCAUUUCAUGAUGUAGGUCACGACACUCAGCAUUCAGAUUAUGCAUAGAUUAAUCCUCGGUUCAACUUCAGCAACUUCUGUAGUGAGUCCAGCUCAUAUUUCCAGGACAAUAGACAUGCUUUCUAUUUUACUCUUUACUUCAAUUUUAAGUUUUGCAAGAGUUAGUUGGGGGCAUGUCCUUUCAAACUUAUAGUCAGUGUUGAGUUGUUUCCCCUAUAUAUUCAGAUAAAUUUUCAUUAGGAUUCAAAUUAGUUUUGUCUCAUUUUUUAGUUAUGUUAAUGCUUUCCUAGUUAUAUUUUUCAGUAUGGUUGUUAUAUGCCAGAUUGAGGAUUAUCUUGGGGUCACUCGUGAUCCUAGGUCCCGUAAAACGUAUAGGGAUAGCCUCGGAGCAUGACAAGGAAGGUGCUUAGGUAGCUUCUCUAUGCAAGGCGGCAACGUCUCCUAGUAAACCAUGUAUUUCUCCAUACUUGCAAUGGUUUCCCUGAAUAUCGGCUCCCCCUUCUUGAGCCCCUUGACUAAUUGCAUAGCCAAAAUAUGUGCUUGGCUAUGUUUGUGUGGCAUAGCCACUGUAGGCACCAUGCAAGAUCCUUCUUGUUUUAUGACCAAGAGACACUAGUGUAGGGGCCGAUCAUGGCAUGAAAAUCCAAUGAAAGAAUUUAUCGCAUGACUAUAUCUGCAUUCACACGCACCAGCUGUAUGAGGUUGGAGAUGACAGAUGGGAACUGGCUAGGUCUAUCAUCUAUGUAUUAUAUCUGGAUCGCUUGAUCGUAGGUGAUCGAAGAAAAAAUCAAAUGAAAGUAAAUUGUAUCACAUGACUAUAUCUUCAUAUCUAAAAAUCCUACCGAUAAGCCAUUGAAGAAAAUUAUUAUCUGGUUGAAAUUGUUAUGUCAGCACAAAAAAUGUAAAAAACUAAAAUCAUAAAAUUUGAGUUCGGAGGGAAAUGUUGUUGAAAUUUCAAUCAUAAUUUAAUGGGUACUUAUGUCUUAUUCCAAUUUCUCCGUAAGAUAAUUUUUCUGGCUUAGCAGCCUGAACAUUAUCUAUGUGAAGAAAUUUCAACGUUACAAAUAUGGUAGUGUUGUGAUUCUACUUCAUCUCUUCUUCUCCCUAUUAUAGUAAAAACCACCUCUUUGAGAUAAGAGCCUUGAAAAUAUUAUUAUUUCCUAAGAUUUCAAUUUGUCCUUUGCACUAAUGUUGUGGAAAAUAAGAAAAUGUCUAGAAACAUUAAUUUUUAAAAAUUAAUAAUACGUGUCGACUUAUGUUUGUCAAUUAAUUUUUAAAAAAUAAUAAUGUGUUUGUUAUGUUUUGCAUUAAAAAUAAAAACAUAAGAUUCUUUAACUUAGUAUUAACUCACAUUUAGAUUUUUCUAUUUUAGGUGUGCACAAGUAAACACAUGUAUCAUAUAAUACACGUAUGAUGUCAUAUAGGAUUCUAUGUAGGAUGUGAAUUGUCAUGUAGGACGCUAAGUAGUAUCUGAGUGUCUACUUGUUAAUUCUAUAAUAGUUUAAAUGUCUAUUGUGCACAUUCAAAAUUAGUGGGUAUAUAUGUCAAAUGAGAUCAAGAUAAAGGCACGUUUGUAUAUUAUAUCUAAUAUAGAAGUAUUACUUAUAUGAGAAAAUAAAACAAAUAAAAAUAUCAUUCUCACACAUUACUAAUACACAUUACUAAUUUUCUUCUUUCCCCCACAUGAACCUAAACUUUUCAACAAAAGUAGGCACAUCACUCACUAUAAAUACCACAUGCAUUCUUCUACUUAAAUCCCAUCCAUAACUAAUAAUAUUACUGAUUAAAUAUCUCAUAAAAAUAAGAAAAAUGAAAAUGAUGAAAUUUUUUGUGCUUGUUGUAACUAUUUUAGCAUUGUUGCUAAGUGUAGCAAAUGCACAACAAUGUGGAAGUCAAGCUGGUGGAGCUUUGUGUGCCAAUGGGUUAUGUUGUAGUCAAUAUGGCUAUUGUGGCACUACUCCUGAUUACUGUGGACAGGGAUGCCAGAGUCAAUGCAACUAAAUUAUGUCUUGUGUGUACGUUCUAGCUUGAAGGCUAUGAUAAUAAUAAGGUAAUAUAUAUCCAUGUGGUUGUGUGUUUAAAAUAUAUAAAUUUGUAUUACUAGAAUAAAGUGGGAACAUGUAUGUACUGUGAGUUAAUUCCACAAGACCAAGAAUAUAGUGUCUGGUCAUGAACACUAUAUAUGUACUAGUUUGUUUGUUUUCUAUUUCAAUGUGAUGUUUAUUAAGAAUGGUCAAAAACCACUUAAUAAAAAUGUCCACUAUUUAAGUAUUAUUAGAUUCAUUCAAAUAAUUUUACUUUUCAUAUCAUGUUUUCAUCCAUGUGUUAAACAUAUAUAUCAAAUAAAUAGUCCAAUUCAAAUUAGAAAGAAGCAACGCGCAAGUCAAAUAACAAAUAGAUCAGACUUUAACACAUAAACAAUUCAUAGUCAACAAUUAUAAUUACCACAUAAUCAACUAUAUCAAUAAAGAUCGUACAGUCAUUCAAUACUCACUGUUAGGAUCGAAAAUAAUUAGAUGUAAUGCGAAAGUUAACAAAGAAAACUUCGAUAGACCUCGAUAGAUCGCGCUCGAGUAAGAAGACAAACAAGAAAUGUAUCAAAAGACACAAAGAUUUAACGUGGUUCGAUCAAUCGAUCUACGUCCACAAAGGAAUGAAAUAUUCACUAUAUAAAUAUGAGAGUACAAAAUAUAGAGAGAAUUUAUUACAUCAAUCAAUUCACUAGGAAUACAAGGGAGGUUCACACAAGUGAUAACGUAUUAAACUUGUGUUCCACAAAUUUUCCCCACAAGAAACGGACUAGCCAAUUAUAAACCAUUUCCUACAAAAAAAAAAAAAGGAUAGCCAAGGUUAAACCUUUUCCUAAAAUAAAUAAACAUAUAUAUGGUAAGAAACUCAGACCAAAUAAUACCCAAAAUUCACUACAUCAUGAAACAAAACAGCAAUAAAUAAAUUAAAGCAUACACACAUGCUAAGUGAU